AGUUUUGAGCUAAAUAUAUUAUAAUAUUAGUUUAUUUAUGAAGGUGUUGUAAAACCUUAUUAAAAAUUAUAUUUAGGGGUGAUAGGCCUUUCAAAAACUAAGAUAUCUUGAAUCUAAUUAAAAGUAUGUAGUACAUUCAACACAACUAUUAAGUGAUUAGGCUUUAUAGAACUAUUAACUUAUAAGGAUUUUUAUUUAUUAUAAUUUAAUAAUUAAGUAUAUAAAUAAAAUAAUAUACAUAUAUUAUAGUUUAUAAGGAGUAAUUAGAUAAAUUAAAGUUCAUAAAUUUUGUAAUAAUGUUAAUAUUAGUAUUAAGUUUAUAUUUAUAUGAUGAACUCGGCAAAAAUGUUUCUCAACUGUUUAUCAAAAACAUAACUAUGUGUAUAAAUACAUAGCGGUUUCUGCUCAA
rnacentral:rRNA from 1 species